AAAAGGAGACGGACCAGUUCCUCCUUCCACUUCCUCCCGUCGUCUGUUCGAGAUGGCGGCGGAAGAUCCACGAGCUCCCCGCUGCACAGGUGGUGGACGAGCGGGGCGAUCUCCACACAAGAUGUUCAAGGCUCUUCAAAGAUGAAGAACAAGGAUGAUGGACUCUGACAGGUGUCUUCACUGUUGCUGAACUCCAGAGCAGCCAGACUUCCCUCUGAGGUGGGAGUUUGAUGGGCAGUCUGAAGGAUGACACAUGGAGCUAUAAACACAACUGCUGAAUGGAUACUUGGAGAGGAAGCAACCAUUGAAGUCUGAUGGUGACUGACCGCUUCAGCAGCACGCUCGUGGUCUUACUGAAGGUACUUUCCUCUGGACAUCUGGGAGACACUUGACUCUUCUCACCAUCAGAGGUGUUUUCCCAGUUUGACAUCAAGGCUGAGCUGGGAUGAGGUCAUCUGUGUUGCCUGUGCUUGUUCAUGGAGGUUUGGUGACACCAUCUGACUCUUGAAGGCACCGACACCUGGUGGGACUACUACAGUGUAAAUGUCUGGCAGCAUGGGAUGUCACAUGGUCUUGCGUGCAAAGCUCCUGCCUGUGUUGGUUCAGUGAUGCUAUCUGAAGCUGCCUCCUCAGACUGCUGCAGGUCUGGCAGCUCGAAGUCAUCACAUGGUCUUUAUCUUGUGCUCAGUUUCAACAUGUCUCUUCAGAGUCCAGCUGGAUCUGCCUGCAGAGCUGCCUGCUGCUUUGAGUGCUUGACUGUCGACUGAAGAUCCAUCGGCCAUCUUAUGCUGCAGCACGAUUUCUGCAGUUUGUCUAAAGAUCAAGUGGUGAUUCAAAAUGUCAACAUACUCAUGGCCACUUGAUUUGCAAGGAACGGACAACUACACGCUACAUCAGCCCGCUAACUGAGCACCAGGACUGCUGUGAAUUCUUAAAUUAACCUUUUGUAAUGGCCUUUAUUUCAAAUAAAGUGUAGCUUCAAGUACA